UCUCCCGGCGGGUAAUCGAACCCCGGUCGCCCGCGUGACAGGCGGGAUAAUUUUCACCACUAUACUACCGAGGA